UCGAUUUGAACCGAAUACUCACCCUUACUUGAGAGAGAGAGUUGACGGCAAGAAGAAGAAGAAGAAGAUAAAAUUAUUAAUUCAUUUCUUUCUCUAACUCUUACAGAUAUUUUAAUUUCCCUAAUGAUAAUUAACCUUUAUAAGUGUCCACAUCUAAUUUCCUAGUUAGAUGUGUUUUCUAAUUCUUAUUAGGCCACUUGUCAGGUUAAGUUAAUUAGGGAAAUAAAACAUUAAUUAAUUAGUAUUAUGUAAAAUACCAGUUAACCACCACAUUCUCUCUUCUUUGACUUCUCAAGUCUAAUUAACCAAAUUAAUAUCUCACCUUAUAAUUAAUUAAUCAAGUUUACAUUUAAAUACUUUAAAUAUUAACUUGAUUACUUUCAUUGAAAA
rnacentral:misc_RNA from 1 species